UACGGAGGGUGCAAGCGUUAUCCGGAUUCACUGGGUUUAAAGGGUGUGUAGGCGGGUAUUUAAGUCAGUGGUGAAAUCUCCAGGCUCAACCUGGAAACUGCCAUUGAUACUAUUUAUCUUGAAUCCUGUUGAGGUGGGCGGAAUAUAUCAUGUAGCGGUGAAAUGCUUAGAUAUGAUAUAGAACACCGAUUGCGAAGGCAGCUCACUAAGCAGGUAUUGGCGCUGAGGCACGAAAGCGUGGGGAUCAAACAGG
rnacentral:rRNA from 1 species